AUCUAUAAUGAAUUACAUGAUUCUAGUCACUUGGUAAAUAACUUCAAUGACUGCAUGGAGUUUAUAAGCUCUCUGAAAGUGCAUUUCUCCAAAAGCAGCUUAUCGGAACAUCAUGGGUUUUCUAAGACUGUUGCUGACCUCUAUGAACAACAACAAAAUGCUCAUUUUUAAGUGCAUUUCCCAAAGAAACAGUGAAUUCCUGCUUCAGGCCUACUGUACAAACACUUGAGACUCUUUAUUACUAACUGGGUCCAGUGGCAGAGAAGACAACGACGUUCUUUUGAAGACAAUCAGAGAUGCUAUGUCUGUCCUACUCACCAUAUCAGGGAUAAAGAUGACCUUUAGUCAGA